UACGUAGGGUGCGAGCGUUAAUCGGAAUUACUGGGCGUAAAGUGUGCGCAGGUGGCCGCGCAAGUCGAGUGUGAAAUCCCCGGGCUUAACUUGGGAAUUGCGCUCGAAACUACUUGGCUCGAGUGUGGCAGAGGAAGGUGGAAUUCCAGGUGUAGCGGUGAAAUGCGUAGAGAUCUGGAGGAACACCGAUGGCGAAGGCAGCCUUCUGGGCCAACACUGACGCUCAUGCACGAAAGCGUGGGGAGCAAACAGG
rnacentral:rRNA from 1 species